rnacentral:rRNA from 1 species
UACGUAGGGUGCGAGCGUUGUCCGGAAUUAUUGGGCGUAAAGAGCUCGUAGGCGGUCUGUCACGUCGGAUGUGAAAACUCGGGGCUCAACCCCGAGCCUGCAUUCGAUACGGGCAGACUAGAGUUCGGUAGGGGAGACUGGAAUUCCUGGUGUAGCGGUGAAAUGCGCAGAUAUCAGGAGGAACACCGGUGGCGAAGGCGGGUCUCUGGGCCGAUACUGACGCUGAGGCGCGAAAGCUAGGGGAGCAAACGGG